AUGACGCCUCUGUUCAUCUCAGUGCUGCUGGCUGCUAUGUGCCUCGAAUGCAGAGCACAAAAAGACAACGUGCUGCAAGCAAAAGGAGAAGAGACUGCUGCUGAAGGAGGCACAGUAACACUUCACUGUCUCUAUAACACCAGUGGUUUAACAGGCACUUCUCUCUUCUGGUACAAACAGGAUGGAAACAACAGCCCCAAAUUCAUCCUGAGCCGUGUUAGUGGGGACCAAGGAAACACAGCAGACGAGUUCAAGGAGAGAUUUUCAUCCACACUGGAUUCCAGCAUCAGAUCAGUUCCUCUGAAGAUCCAGAAGCUUCAGUUGUCUGACUCUGCUGUGUACUACUGUGCUCUGCAGCCCACAGUGACAGGAAACACCAAAACUCUGUACAAAAACCUUUGGCGCAAAGACAACAGAAUACUCCACAACAUCCACUAG